rnacentral:pre_miRNA from 1 species
AGUGGGAGAGCUGGGUCAAAUGGUGGUUUCAUUCCUAUUUUUUGAGGAAUCUCCAUAAGGCUUUCCAAAGUGGUUGCACCAAGUUGAAGUCCCACCAGCAAU